AUGACUGACGACACAUGCGGUUUCAUGAGUUGGAACAUGAGAGGGCUCAACUCGUCGACGAGGAGAGCCACGGUUAGUGAGCUAGUUAGUGCCCUGCGCCCGGCGAUCCUCUGCGUGCAGGAGACAAAGAUCGACACUUGGUCCCCCAGCUUGGUGCGUGACAUUGGUGGGCACGCUCUAGACGGCUGCGCUGUCCUACCGGUGAUCGGCACCCGCGGUGGUGCGGCCAUCUUCUAG
rnacentral:rRNA from 1 species